AUGAAUUGGUUAGAUUACAAUGAUAGAGGUUGGUGGACACACUGUUCUUGUUCAGAAUUUUGAUUAGAGAAAGGUAUUAUUCGCUAAUUAUAACCCCCUCCUUUUUCAAGAAUACACCUGUAUGAAUGUGAGAAUUGAUUGGUGACUAUUAAUUUUAUUAUCAAAGAGCAGAGUGUUGGAUUGUUUUCAUUCCCAAACAUUUAGUGUUUGAAGACGAAUGAUUUCUAUUUGAUAUGAAGGCUACAAGUAAUCAACCAAAGCAACUAAGUGCAAGUAAAGAUUCUUCAUAGGGAUAAUCUAUUGACGGUUUGGAGAACUUUAGAUUUACUGACCUUCUUUUUAUGCUAGAAAGAAUAAUUUGUAUGUAAUUCUAAUGGUAAAGAUAUGUGAUUAAACUGAUAUGAAGGAUAUAAAAUAUUUGUUGUCCUUUGCUCGUACAUCAACAUCAGUUCACCUUUGACUUUGGCUGUCUGUUCAACUUUUAGCUACUCAUACAGUAACAUCAGCUGUGACACUUCACCAAGGAAUUACUUUGUGAUAUCCAUAACAACCUCAACCUUUUAUUUUAAAAAUCAAACCAAAUUUCUUGUAUCACAAUUCUUUAAAUUAAUACUAAUUUAUUGCCUUUUUAUUUCUUAAAAUCUUCUGGCAGUAUUCAAAGAGGUAUAAAGUUAACACUGAGGAAGGAAGAAAUUUAUGUAAGAAAAGUAUACCCAAAAGCAAAUAGGAAGCAAAUAGGAAGAAAGGCAUAGUUAAACCAUCGAAGAAUUAGGAACCACCCAUGUUUCACAACAUCAUAGUUUGUUUGGGCUCCAAAAUCAUAUUUGUUUGUAACAAAGAAAGUUAUGUAAGAAAAGUAUACCAAGAACAAAUAGGAAGACUGAAUUAAACCAUCAAAGAAUUAAGAGCCACACCUGUUUCACAAUAUCAUAGGUUUUAUGGCUCCAAAAUCAUGUUUGUUUGUACCAACAGAGAGAACAUACAAUUCUUAUGUGUAGGCAUUUUAAUUAACACAGUCAUGAAAUUUUAUUUAAUAGGUCUUCUGAGUUAGUUUGAUUUGUAAUACCAUUAUUGUAGACUUAGAUUUGCAUUUUUGUAGCACAACAAAGGGGGAAGAAAAGAGCAGAAGGACAAACUAUUUAGGAAGAUCAUUAGGUGUUUGCACCAUUGUAGGAAUCAGUAAAUAGGAAAACAUUUCAUUCAUUCUUCAUUAAAGAAAAAAAAUUCCAUUCACCAAAGCCUCCAAUUAUGAGAGUGCAUUUUUCGUCCCUAUCAACCAAAACGUUACAUCAUGUUAAUAUUUCUCAUUGUUUAAAUCUGAUCACUUCUAUAUUCAUAGAUGAUACUUUCGUCCUCCCACAUUCAUCCUCUUCUAUAAAAGAAACCGUUGCAAAACUUUGGACUGCCAGUUUUCGCAACUCUGUAGCCUUCCAUGUACAUACGUGUUUUGAUGCUCACCAUACUUGUGCAUCAAAAGUGAUACAAAUGGCAACCUGAUAUUUUUUCAAGUUACCAAAACAAUUUGCCAUUACUGACAUCUUCUUGUUUCAAAUUGCAGAAAACGUGGAUAUGCACUUCACUUUACGUGAUUUUCUGGUAUAUAAAUUUCUAUUUUGCUAGCCGCUAAAGCAUAUUGGUCAUGUAACUGAUGUAAAUAGUGGUUGCUGAAUGACUCAACAAUAAAUCUUUGGCUUGACCUUGUUUUUUUCCUUUUAUGAUUUGUCCAGGUUUCAAUGUGUUUGACUAACCAGACCAAAUAGAAACGAAGUUACUGUUUGUUCUGUUGUUCGACCAGACAAAAUAGAAACGAAGUUACUAUUUGUCCCUUGUUGGCUCCGCUUGCUGGACAUAUACUUGCUUGCAUCUGUCACUCCACCAAAUAGGUUUUGUAGUAGCAUUUAACUUAGCUCCCUUCUCUUUACCAAGAUAAUUGCCAAAGUCGGGCGGCAUCAAAGUAGCAAACUUAUUGUUGGAGAAGUCCACAUAUUUAGCUGCUAUUGGUGGUAGUGAAAUAUCUCUCGUGAGCAGAUUUGAAUGCAGAUCAAGGAAAUCUAGAAUGCCAAAUCUAUAAGUCUCUUGAAAAUGCAUGAAUUGGUUGCAGAAAGAUUCAGAAAAUAGAUUUCCAUCAUUGAUUUCCCACAACCAGUUUGGUAUUUCACCAGUAAGUUGGCUGCUUGAGAGAUCUAGCAUUUGCAACCUGGGCACGACACCAAGAAUAAACCACCAAGCUGGGGGAGCAAGGCAAGGUCUGAUUCACUUAUAUUUGUGAAAGGCAAGGUCUGAUUCACUUAUAUUUGUGUCAAUUGAUAAGCUGUUGUGGGAUAGAUCAGGGCUUCCAAGGUUAUUGAGCUUUGUAAACGUCUUCAAAUGCAGAGUUCCAUUGAAAUUGUUGGAUGAAAUUGUAAGAGUUCCGAG
rnacentral:lncRNA from 1 species